CGUAAACAAAGGGAGGCGAACAUGUGAGUGGAAGCGAAUCCCAAAAAUAACGUCUCAGUUCGGAUUGUAGUCUGCAACUCGACUACAUGAAGCUGGAAUCGCUAGUAAUCGCGAAUCAGAAUGUCGCGGUGAAUACGUUCCCGGGUCUUGUACACACCGCCCGUCACACCAUGGGAGUUGGGAAUGCCCGAAGCCGGUGACCUAACCGAAAGGGAGGAGCCGUCGAAGGCAGGCUUGAUAACUGGGGUGAAGUCGUAACAAGGUAAC
rnacentral:rRNA from 1 species